UUAACGAUCCACUUUCUCUCUUCCAUUCUGAGAAGGCGGUGCAGGAGCUUCUUCAACAGACUCCAGUCCAGGGAACUGAUGACCAACACGUAGAGUUCUCAGAGGCACUAAGAACUGUUGCAAAGGCAUUAAGACGAGCUGCUGAGGGAAAAGCUUCUGCUCAAACUGAGGCUGCUGAAUGGAAGCGUAGAUAUGAACUGGAGAGGCAACGAAACCAGCGGCUGCAGCGUAAAGAAUAUUCACCUGAGAAGCACAAUGAUGACUUUGAUGAAAAGAGGACAGAGAACUCAACCAACCAUUCUGUGCUGAGUAAUCAAACAACCAAGCAAUCUGAAAAUUGUUGUACCAAUGGGAUUUGCUCUCAUGAAAUUCUUCAAGAUG
rnacentral:misc_RNA from 1 species